rnacentral:rRNA from 1 species
AAUCGAACUCGGAGAUAGCUGGUUCUCCCCGAAAUAGCUUUAGGGCUAGCCUCAUAUUAGAUACCCGGAGGUAAAGCACUGAAUGGCCUAGCGCCCGAGAGGGUAGCGAAGCCUAUCAAACUAAGAAUGCCGGAGUAUUGAUGUAUGGGAGUCAGACAGUGUGAGAUAAAUCUCAUUGUCAAAAGGGAAACAGCCCAGAUCUACAGCUAAGGUCCCAAAUUGUAUCUAAGUGGAAAACGAUGUGGAAAUACGCAGACAACCAGGAUGUUGGCUCAGAAGCAGCCACUCAUUUAAAGAGUGCGUAAUAGCUCACUAGUCGAGAAAACCUGCGCCGAAAAUGUAACGGGGCUAAAACACGACACCGAAGCUACGGAUUUCCUACAAGGUAGGAAGUGGUAGAGGAGCAUCCUGCAAGGACGAAGCCAAAGUGAGAGCGAUGGUGGACGAAACAGGAGAGAGAAUGCCGGAAUGAGUAGCGAGAUACAUGUGAGAAACAUGUAGGCCGAAUAUCUAAGGAUUCCUGGGUAAAGCUAAUCUUCCCAGGGUUAGUCGGGGCCUAAGGCGAGGACGAAAGUCGUAGUCGAUGGAUAACAGGUUGAUAUUCCUGUACUACACAUAAUCAGAACUGUGGGGACGCAGGAGGAUAGGGAAACCGGGGAAUGGAGAGACCCGGUCAAGCGUAAAGCUGUGGGAGAUAGGCAAAUCCGUCUCUUGUAAGUGAAACGUGAUGAGGACUGAAAAAAAGUAAGGAAGUUUCCGAAUCCACACUGCCGAGAAAAGCCGCUAUUGUUUUAUAUGUGCCCGUACCGUAAACCGACACAGGUGGAUGAGGAGAGAAUCCUAAGGCCGGCGGAAGAAGCAUUGUUAAGGAACUCGGCAAAAUGACCCCGUAACUUCGGGAGAAGGGGUGCCUGCGAGAGCAGGCCGCAGAGAAUAGGCUCAAGCAACUGUUUAGCAAAAACACAGGUCUAUGCGAAACCGAAAGGUGAGGUAUAUGGGCUGACGCCUGCCCGGUGCUGGAAGGUUACGAGGAGAGGUUAGAGCAAUCGAAGCUUUGAAUCUAAGCCCCAGUAAACGGCGGCCGUAACUAUAACGGUCCUAAGGUAGCGAAAUUCCUUGUCGGGUAAGUUCCGACCCGCACGAAAGGCGUAAUGAUUUGAGCGCUGUCUCGACAAUGCACCCGGUGAAAUUGAAAUACCAGUGAAGAUGCUGGUUACCUGCGCCAGGACGGAAAGACCCCAUGGAGCUUUACUCCAGCUUGAUACUGGGAUUCGGUACUGCAUGUACAGGAUAGGUGGGAGACUGAGAACUAUGAACGCCAGUUUGUAGGGAGUCGCUGUUGGGAUACCACCCUUGCGGUAUUGGAUUUCUAACCUGCAGCCGUGAACCGGCUGGGGGACAAUGUCAGGCGGGGAGUUUGACUGGGGCGGUCGCCUCCGAAAGGGUAUCGGAGGCGCUCAAAGGUUCCCUCAGAAUGGUUGGAAACCAUUCGAAGAGUGCAAAGGCAGAAGGGAGCUUGACUGCGACACCGACGGGUGGAGCAGGUACGAAAGUAGGACUUAGUGAUCCGGUGGUAUGAAAGUGGGAUUGCCAUCGCUCAACGGAUAAAAGCUACCCUGGGGAUAACAGGCUUAUCACUCCCAAGAGUUCACAUCGACGGAGUGGUUUGGCACCUCGAUGUCGGCUCAUCGCAUCCUGGGGCUGUAGUAGGUCCCAAGGGUUGGGCUGUUCGCCCAUUAAAGCGGUACGCGAGCUGGGUUCAGAACGUCGUGAGACAGUUCGGUCCCUAUCCGGCGUGGGCGUAGGAUAUUUGAGAGGAGCUGUCCUUAGUACGAGAGGACCGGGAUGGACGGGCCGCUGGUGUACCUGUUGGAGUGCCAACUCCAUGGCAGGGUAGCCAAGCCCGGACGGGAUAAACGCUGAAGGCAUCUAAGCGUGAAGCCCCCCUCAAGAUGAGAUAUCCCAUACGCAAGUAGUAAGACCCCUUGA